CGCGCAGCGAGAGGUGCUUGCACCUUUCAAGCGAGUGGCGAACGGGUGAGUAACACGUGGAUAACCUGCCUCAAGGCUGGGGAUAACAUUUGGAAACAGAUGCUAAUACCGAAUAAAACUUAGUAUCGCAUGAUAUAAAGUUAAAAGGCGCUACGGCGUCACCUAGAGAUGGAUCCGCGGUGCAUUAGUUAGUUGGUGGGGUAAAGGCUUACCAAGACAAUGAUGCAUAGCCGAGUUGAGAGACUGAUCGGCCACAUUGGGACUGAGACACGGCCCAAACUCCUACGGGAGGCUGCAGUAGGGAAUCUUCCACAAUGGGCGCAAGCCUGAUGGAGCAACGCCGCGUGUGUGAUGAAGGCUUUCGGGUCGUAAAGCACUGUUGUAUGGGAAGAAAUGCUAAAAUAGGGAAUGAUUUUAGUUUGACGGUACCAUACCAGAAAGGGACGGCUAAAUACGUGCCAGCAGCCGCGGUAAUACGUAUGUCCCGAGCGUUAUCCGGAUUUAUUGGGCGUAAAGCGAGCGCAGACGGUUGAUUAAGUCUGAUGUGAAAGCCCGGAGCUCAACUCCGGAAUGGCAUUGGAAACUGGUUAACUUGAGUGUUGUAGAGGUAAGUGGAACUCCAUGUGUAGCGGUGGAAUGCGUAGAUAUAUGGAAGAACACCAGUGGCGAAGGCGGCUUACUGGACAACAACUGACGUUGAGGCUCGAAAGUGUGGGUAGCAAACAGGAUUAGAUACCCUGGUAGUCCACACCGUAAACGAUGAAUACUAGGUGUUAGGAGGUUUCCGCCUCUUAGUGCCGAAGCUAACGCAUUAAGUAUUCCGCCUGGGGAGUACGACCGCAAGGUUGAAACUCAAAGGAAUUGACGGGGACCCGCACAAGCGGUGGAGCAUGUGGUUUAAUUCGAAGCAACGCGAAGAACCUUACCAGGUCUUGACAUCCUUUGAAGCUUUUAGAGAUAGAAGUGUUCUCUUCGGAGACAAAGUGACAGGUGGUGCAUGGUCGUCGUCAGCUCGUGUCGUGAGAUGUUGGGUUAAGUCCCGCAACGAGCGCAACCCUUAUUGUUAGUUGCCAGCAUUCAGUUGGGCACUCUAGCGAGACUGCCGGUGACAAACCGGAGGAAGGCGGGGACGACGUCAGAUCAUCAUGCCCCUUAUGACCUGGGCUACACACGUGCUACAAUGGCGUAUACAACGAGUUGCCAACCUGCGAAGGUGAGCUAAUCUCUUAAAGUACGUCUCAGUUCGGACUGCAGUCUGCAACUCGACUGCACGAAGUCGGAAUCGCUAGUAAUCGCGGAUCAGCACGCCGCGGUGAAUACGUUCCCGGGUCUUGUACACACCGCCCGUCACACCAUGGGAGUUUGUAAUGCCCAAAGCCGGUGGCCUAACCUUCGGGAGGG
rnacentral:rRNA from 1 species